rnacentral:rRNA from 1 species
AUUGAACGCUGGCGGAAUGCUUUACACAUGCAAGUCGAACGGCAGCACGGACUUCGGUCUGGUGGCGAGUGGCGAACGGGUGAGUAAUGUAUCGGAACGUGCCCAGCCGUGGGGGAUAACGUAGUGAAACUUACGCUAAUACCGCAUACGAUCUAUGGAUGAAAGCGGGGGAUCGCAAGACCUAGCGCGAUUGGAGCGGCCGAUAUCAGAUUAGGUAGUUGGUGGAGUACAGGCCCACAAAGCCAACGAUCUGUAGCGGGUCUGAGAGGACGACCAGCCACACUGGAACUGAGUCACGGUCCAGACUCCUACGGGAGGCAGCAGUGGGGAAUUUUGGACAAUGGGCGAAAGCCUGAUCCAGCCAUUCCGCGUGCAGGAUGAAGGCCCUCGGGUUGUAAACUGCUUUUGUACAGAACGAAAAGGUUUCUACUAAUACUAGGAGCUCAUGACGGUACUGUAAGAAUAAGCACCGGCUAACUACGUGCCAGCAGCCGCAGUAA